GAUGAACGCUGGCGGCGUGCUUAACACAUGCGAGUCGAACGGGAAAUAUUUCAUUGAGCCUUCGGUGGAUUUGAUUUAUUUCUAGUGGCGGACGGGUGAGUAACGCGUGGGUAACCUGCCUUAUACAGGGGGAUAACAGUCAGAAAUGGCUGCUAAUACCGCAUAAGCCCACAGAGCUGCAUGGCUCAGUGUGAAAAACUCCGGUGGUAUAAGAUGGACCCGCGUUGGAUUAGCUAGUUGGUGGGGUAACGGCCCACCAAGGCGACGAUCCAUAGCCGGCCUGAGAGGGUGAACGGCCACAUUGGGACUGAGGCACGGCCCAGACUCCUACGGGAGGCAGCAGUGGGGAAUAUUGCACAAUGGGGGAAACCCUGAUGCAGCGACGCCGCGUGAAGGAAGAAGUAUCUCGGUAUGUAAACUUCUAUCAGCAGGGAAGAUAGUGACGGUACCUGACUAAGAAGCCCCGGCUAACUACGUG
rnacentral:rRNA from 1 species